GAUCAAGUGUCUUAAGGGCAAUUGGUGGAUGCCUUGGCAUGCACAGGCGAUGAAGGACGUGAUACGCUGCGAUAAGCUACGGGGAGGUGCGAAUACCCCUUGAUCCGUAGAUUUCCGAAUGGGGAAACCCACCUAAGGUACUUGGAAAAUCAGAGCAGCAGGGCGACGAUCUCUAUGAGAUCGUGCUGUUGCUGCUGUGGUUUCCAAGUAUCGAUAAUAGGUAACUUACCCUGAAUACAUAGGGGUAAAGUGGCGAACGCGGGGAACUGAAACAUCUAAGUACCCGUAGGAAAGGACAUCAACCGAGACUCCGGAAGUAGUGGCGAGCGAACCCGGACCAGGCCAGCGGCGAUUGAGAGACAAGCGGAACCUUCUGGAAAGUUGGGCCAUAGCGGGUGACAGCCCCGUACGCGUAAUGCGAUCAAUCGUCCUUGAGUAAGGCGGGACACGUGAAAUCCUGUCUGAAAUUGGGAGGACCACCUUCCAAGCCUAAGUACUCGUGCAUGACCGAUAGCGAACUAGUACCGUGAGGGAAAGGUGAAAAGCACCCCGACAAGGGGAGUGAAAGAGUACCUGAAACCGAUUGCCUACAAACAGUGGGAGCCCGUCCUUCAAAUCGCUUGACGAUUUGAAGAACUUUUGAUGUGACCAUCAAAAGCGCAAGCGCUUUGAUGGGCGGGUGACCACGUACCUUUUGUAUAAUGGGUCAGCGACUUAGUGUGACGAGCAAGCUUAAACCGAUAGGUGUAGGCGCAGCGAAAGCGAGUCUGAACAGGGCGUUCAGUUCGUCGCAUUAGACCCGAAACCGAGUGAUCUAGCCAUGAGCAGGCUGAAGGUAAGGUAACACUUACUGGAGGGCCGAACCCAUAACUGUUGCAAUAGUUCGGGAUGACUUGUGGCUAGGGGUGAAAGGCCAAUCAAACUCGGAAAUAGCUGGUUCUCCGCGAAAUCUAUUUAGGUAGAGCGUCGACCGAAUACCCCAGGGGGUAGAGCACUGGAUGGGCUAGGGGUCCUCACCGGAUUACCAAACCUAACCAAACUCCGAAUACCUGGGAGUACUAGUCGGCAGACACACGGCGGGUGCUAACGUCCGUCGUGAAAAGGGAAACAACCCUGACCUACAGCUAAGGUCCCCAAGUUAUGGCUAAGUGGGAAAGGAUGUGAGGAUCCCAAAACAACCAGGAUGUUGGCUUAGAAGCAGCCAUCAUUUAAAGAAAGCGUAACAGCUCACUGGUCUAAAUAAGGGUCUUUGCGCCGAAAAUGUAACNNNNNNNNNNNNNNNNNNNNNNNNNNNNNNNNNNNNNNNNNNNNNNNNNNNNNNNNNNNNNNNNNNNNNNNNNNNNNNNNNNNNNNNNNNNNNNNNNAAGGGGCUAAAGCCAUACACCGAAGCUUAGGGUUCGUGAGCAAUCACGAGCGGUAGCGGAGCGUUCUGUAAGCUGAUGAAGCCGUACCCGUGAGGGGCGGUGGAGGUAUCAGAAGUGCGAAUGCUGACAUGAGUAACGUAAGGGGAGUGAGAGACUCCCCCGCCGAAAGACCAAGGGUUCCUGCUUAAAGUUAAUCUGAGCAGGGUUAGCCGGCCCCUAAGACGAGGCGGAAACGCGUAGUCGAUGGGAACCACGUUAAUAUUCGUGGGCCUGGAGGUAGUGACGGAUCACACAAGUUGUCCAAUCUUAUCGGAUUGAAAGGGCAGCGGAGUGGUUCCAGGAAAUAGCUCCUCCUUAUAGACCGUACCCGAAACCGACACUGGUGGUCAGGUAGAGUAUACCAAGGCGCUUGAGAGAACUAUGCUGAAGGAACUCGGCAAAUUGCACGCGUAACUUCGGAAGAAGCGUGACCCUUUUCUGCGCAAGCAGAGGAGGGUGGCACAGACCAGGGGGUAGCGACUGUUUAUCAAAAACACAGGGCUCUGCGAAGCCGCAAGGCGACGUAUAGGGUCUGACGCCUGCCCGGUGCUGGAAGGUUAAGAGGAGGGGUGCAAGCUCUGAAUCGAAGCCCCAGUAAACGGCGGCCGUAACUAUAACGGUCCUAAGGUAGCGAAAUUCCUUGUCGGGUAAGUUCCGACCUGCACGAAUGGCGUAACGACUUCCCCGCUGUCUCCAGCAUAGACUCAGUGAAAUUGAAUUCCCCGUGAAGAUGCGGGGUUCCUGCGGUUAGACGGAAAGACCCCGUGCACCUUUACUAUAGCUUUACAUUGGCAUUCGUAGUGGCAUGUGUAGGAUAGGUGGUAGGCUUUGAAGCCUGGGCGCCAGCUCAGGUGGAGCCACCCUUGAAAUACCACCCUUAUUACUAUGGAUGUCUAACCGCGGCCCGUUAUCCGGGUCCGGGACAAUGUAUGGUGGGUAGUUUGACUGGGGCGGUCGCCUCCUAAAGAGUAACGGAGGCGCGCGAUGGUGGGCUCAGAACGGUCGGAAAUCGUUCGCUGAGUGCAAUGGCAUAAGCCUGCCUGACUGCGAGACUGACAAGUCGAGCAGAGACGAAAGUCGGUCAUAGUGAUCCGGUGGUCCCGCGUGGAAGGGCCAUCGCUCAACGGAUAAAAGGUACGCCGGGGAUAACAGGCUGAUGACCCCCAAGAGUCCAUAUCGACGGGGUUGUUUGGCACCUCGAUGUCGACUCAUCGCAUCCUGGGGCUGGAGCAGGUCCCAAGGGUAUGGCUGUUCGCCAUUUAAAGCGGUACGUGAGUUGGGUUCAGAACGUCGUGAGACAGUUCGGUCCCUAUCUGCCGUGGGUGUAGGAAUAUUGAAAGGAUCUGUCCCUAGUACGAGAGGACCGGGAUGGACGGAUCUCUGGUGGACCUGUUGUGGCGCCAGCCGCAUUGCAGGGUAGCUAUAUCCGGACGGGAUAACCGCUGAAGGCAUCUAAGCGGGAAACCCACCUUGAAACGAGUAUUCCCUGAGAACCGUGGAAGACGACCACGUUGAUAGGCCGGGUGUGGAAGAGCGGCAACGCUUGAAGCUUACCGGUACUAAUAGUUCGAUCGGCUUGAUCGUUCUCAUU
rnacentral:rRNA from 1 species